rnacentral:rRNA from 1 species
UACGAAGGGUGCAAGCGUUACUCGGAAUCACUGGGCGUAAAGCGUGCGUAGGCGGUUCGUUAAGUCUGCUGUGAAAGCCCUGGGCUCAACCUGGGAACUGCAGUGGAUACUGGCGGACUAGAGUGUGAUAGAGGAUGGUGGAAUUCCCGGGUGUAGCGGUGAAAUGCGUAGAGAUCGGGAGGAACACCAGUGGCGAAGGCGGCCAUCUGGAUCAACACUGACGCUGAGGCACGAAAGCGUGGGGAGCAAACAGG